AGGAACAAGCGGCGGCUAAUACAUGCAAGUCGAGGGGUAGUGGAGCUUGCUCCAUGAGACCGGCGCACGGGUGCGUAACGCGUAUGCAAUCUACCUCUAUCUGGGGGAUAGCCCGAAGAAAUUCGGAUUAACACCGCAUAAAAUCACAGUACCGCAUGGUACAAUGAUCAAAUAUUUAUAGGAUAGAGAUGAGCAUGCGUGUCAUUAGUUAGUUGGUGGGGUAACGGCCCACCAAGACCGCGAUGACUAGGGGAUCUGAGAGGAUGACCCCCCACACUGGUACUGAGACACGGACCAGACUCCUACGGGAGGCAGCAGUAAGGAAUAUUGGUCAAUGGAGGCAACUCUGAACCAGCCAUGCCGCGUGCAGGAAGACAGCCCUCUGGGUCGUAAACUGCUUUUAUUCGGGAAUAAACCUAUCUACGUGUAGAUAGCUGAAUGUACCGAAGGAAUAAGGAUCGGCUAACUCCGUGCCAGCAGCCGCGGUAAUACGGAGGAUCCAAGCGUUAUCCGGAUUUAUUGGGUUUAAAGGGUGCGUAGGCGGCCUGUUAAGUCAGGGGUGAAAGACGGUAGCUCAACUAUCGCAGUGCCCUUGAUACUGAUGGGCUUGAAUGAACUAGAGGUAGGCGGAAUGUGACAAGUAGCGGUGAAAUGCAUAGAUAUGUCACAGAACACCGAUUGCGAAGGCAGCUUACUAUGGUUUUAUUGACGCUGAGGCACGAAAGCGUGGGGAUCAAACAGGAUUAGAUACCCUGGUAGUCCACGCCCUAAACGAUGAAUACUCGCUGUUGGCGAUACACAGUCAGCGGCUAAGCGAAAGCGUUAAGUAUUCCACCUGGGGAGUACGCUCGCAAGAGUGAACUCAAGGAAUUUGACGGGGGCCCGCACAAGCGGAGGAGCAUGGUGGUUUAAUUUCGAUGAUACGCGAGGAACCUUACCCGGGCUGAAGGUUUAGUGA
rnacentral:rRNA from 1 species